GACGAACGCUGGCGGCGUGCUUAACACAUGCAAGUCGAACGGAGCGAAUGAAAGCUUGCUUUUAUAAGCUUAGUGGCAAACGGGUGAGUAACACGUAGGCAACCUGCCGACAGGAUGGGGACAACAUUCCGAAAGGAAUGCUAAUACCGAAUGAAGCGCAGGAGAGGCAUCUCUCCUGCGUGAAAGAUGGCCUCUAUAUAUAAGCUAUCACCUGUCGAUGGGCCUGCGUCUGAUUAGCUGGUAGGUGAGGUAACGGCUCACCUAGGCGACGAUCAGUAGCCGGUCUGAGAGGAUGAACGGCCACAUUGGGACUGAGACACGGCCCAGACUCCUACGGGAGGCAGCAGUGGGGAAUCUUCCGCAAUGGGCGCAAGCCUGACGGAGCAACGCCGCGUGAGUGAAGAAGGUCUUCGGAUCGUAAAGCUCUGUUGAUGGGGACGAACGUGCCUAAUGCGAAUAGUUUUAGGCAAUGACG
rnacentral:rRNA from 1 species